rnacentral:ribozyme from 15 species
AAAAGACAAGUAUACAACAACAACGACAAAACAGUGAAUGGAAAAAAGCAGAUGGAAAAAUUCGUUACCCAGUCUCUGCGUUAGAUGGCGUCGCCUUUGUUUCGUUUCUUUUCUUUUUCCUCGCCUGGUUUGGUUUU